rnacentral:misc_RNA from 1 species
CAGAGUUGCAAAACUCCCAACCCUUUGUGAACGUAACCUACAGUUGCCUUCGGCGGGAGCUCCUCAGGAGCGGACCGCCGGAGGAAUCCAAACUCUUUGCAUUUAUAGUCAUCUCUGAUUACUUAUCAAUAAGUUA